rnacentral:rRNA from 1 species
UUAACCUACGGGACGCAGCAGUAGGGAAUUUUCGGCAAUGGGGGGAACCCUGACCGAGCAACGCCGCGUGCAGGAAGAAGGUCUUCGGAUUGUAAACUGUUGUCGCAGGGGAAGAAGACAGUGACGGUACCCUGUGAGAAAGUCACGGCUAACUACGUGCCAGCAGCCGCGGUAAUACGUAGGUGACAAGCGUUGUCCGGAUUUACUGGGUGUAAAGGGCGCGUAGGCGGGAUAGCAAGUCAGUCGUGAAAUGCCGAGGCUUAACCUCGGAGCUGCGAUUGAAACUGUUAUUCUUGAGUAUCGGG